rnacentral:rRNA from 1 species
UAUGGUAUUGUUGCAGCCCCGCGGUAAUACGUAUGGUGCAAGCGUUAUCCGGAUUUACUGGGUGUAAAGGGAGCGCAGGCGGUGCGGCAAGUCUGAUGUGAAAGCCCGGGGCUCAACCCCGGUACUGCAUUGGAAACUGUCGUACUAGAGUGUCGGAGGGGUAAGCGGAAUUCCUAGUGUAGCGGUGAAAUGCGUAGAUAUUAGGAGGAACACCAGUGGCGAAGGCGGCUUACUGGACGAUAACUGACGCUGAGGCUCGAAAGCGUGGGGAGCAAACAGG